AACGAACGCUGGCGGCAGGCCUAACACAUGCAAGUCGAGCGAGGACUUCGGUCCUAGCGGCGGACGGGUGAGUAACGCGUGGGAACGUGCCCUUUGCUACGGAAUAGCCCCGGGAAACUGGGAGUAAUACCGUAUGUGCCCUUCGGGGGAAAGAUUUAUCGGCAAAGGAUCGGCCCGCGUUGGAUUAGGUAGUUGGUGGGGUAAUGGCCUACCAAGCCGACGAUCCAUAGCUGGUUUGAGAGGAUGAUCAGCCACACUGGGACUGAGACACGGCCCAGACUCCUACGGGAGGCAGCAGUGGGGAAUCUUAGACAAUGGGCGCAAGCCUGAUCUAGCCAUGCCGCGUGAGCGAUGAAGGCCUUAGGGUUGUAAAGCUCUUUCAGUGGGGAAGAUAAUGACGGUACCCACAGAAGAAGCCCCGGCUAACUCCGUGCCAGCCGCCGCAGUAAUAC
rnacentral:rRNA from 1 species